rnacentral:rRNA from 1 species
CCUACGGGAGGCAGCAGUGAGGAAUAUUGGUCAAUGGGCGCUAGUCUGAACCAGCCAAGUAGCGUGAAGGAUGACUGCCCUAUGGGUUGUAAACUUCUUUUAUAUAGGAAUAAAGUGCAGCAUGUAUACCUUUUUGCAUGUACCUUAUGAAUAAGGAUCGGCUAACUCCGUGCCAGCAGCCGCGGUAAUACGGAGGAUCCGAGCGUUAUCCGGAUUUAUUGGGUUUAAAGGGAGCGUAGAUGGGUUGUUAAGUCAGUUGUGAAAGUUUGCGGCUCAACCGUAAAAUUGCAGUUGAUACUGGCAGUCUUGAGUACAGUAGAGGUAGGCGGAAUUCGUGGUGUAGCGGUGAAAUGCUUAGAUAGCACGAAGAACUCCGAGUGCGAAGGCAGCCUACUAGACUGUGACUGACACUGAUGCUCGAAAGUGUGGGUAUCAAACAGGAUUAGAUACCCUAGUAGUC